rnacentral:rRNA from 1 species
CCUCGGGAGGCAGCAGUGGGGAAUAUUGGACAAUGGGCGAAAGCCUGAUCCAGCAAUGCCGCGUGAGUGAUGAAGGCCUUCGGGUCGUAAAGCUCUUUUACCAGGGAUGAUAAUGACAGUACCUGGAGAAUAAGCUCCGGCUAACUCCGUGCCAGCAGCCGCGGUAAUACGGGAGGGAGCUAGCGUUGUUCGGAAUUACUGGGCGUAAAGAGUACGUAGGCGGUUAUUCAAGUCAGAGGUGAAAGCCCGGGGCUCAACCCCGGAACUGCCUUUGAAACUAGAUAACUAGAGUCUUGGAGAGGUUAGUGGAAUUCCGAGUGUAGAGGUGAAAUUCGUAGAUAUUCGGAAGAACACCAGUGGCGAAGGCGACUAACUGGACAAGUACUGACGCUGAGGUACGAAAGCGUGGGGAGCAAACAGGAUUAGAUACCCUGGUAGUCCACGCCGUAAACGAUGAUAACUAGUUGUUCGGUCACUUGGUGACUGAGUGACGCAGCUAACGCAUUAAGUUAUCCGCCUGGGGAGUACGGUCGCAAGAUUAAAACUCAAAAGGAAAUUGACGG